GCGAGAGUGGCGAAAUUGGCAGACGCGCUAGACUUAGGAUCUAGUGCCGCAAGGUGUGGGGGUUCGAGUCCCCCCUCUCGCA
rnacentral:tRNA from 2 species